UACAGAGGGUGCAAACGUUGUUCGGAAUUACUGGGCGUAAAGCGCGUGUAGGCGGUCGGGCAAGUCGGAUGUGAAAGCCCCGGGCUCAACCCGGGAAGUGCAUUCGAUACUGCUUGGCUAGAGUACUGGAGAGGAUGGUGGAACUCUCGGUGUAGAGGUGAAAUUCGUAGAUAUCGAGAAGAACACCGGCGGCGAAGGCGGCCAUCUGGACAGAUACUGACGCUGAGACGCGAAAGCGUGGGGAGCAAACAGG
rnacentral:rRNA from 1 species